GGAACUGGCAACGCUACCUGAUUGAAGCAUGCUGUUUUCCGUUUGUUUAUAAAACUAAGCAACGUUCGGUAUCCUUCGUGGGUAUCCAGGUGAUAAUCCAGCAAAGAGUUGCAAUAUCAUAUACGAUUGGGUGCAUUGCUGGUCUUUUCUGGGACAGCCAGGAAAACCGCAAAUGGUAUACCGGACAACGAUGACGACGAAGCGGUUUGCACAAUACAUUAAUUCUAAUGACUGCAUUUACUCGCUCGAUAUUUGUAUGCUAACCCAGUAAAGUCCAGCCAGAAUAUGAAAUUGAAAUUCCUUUCAGUGCCUAUAAAACAAAAUUCCAGAAAAACUAUCCGAGACGGUCGUUGCAUUUUAACUGGAAUUCUUACAAGAUUCCGAAUCGAUUGGAUGGGUAACGGUGUUCCAAGUUUUUCUCGUAUUCAUCUAAUACGGAAUCGAUUCUUUGGAGCGUAAGCUGAACUAUCUUCGACCCAUGAUUCAUCAUAUAUUUUCAAACGCAUGGUCGGAAAAGUAACUAAAUGCAAAAUAAUAAUGUUGGUACUUGUAGUAGCAUCAGUAGUGCAAACAGAUGAAACUUGCAACUGCUUUAAACCAUUUGAUAAUGCAUCCGAUAUGAAAACUGUCUUUAGUUAUUUGCAUCAAUAUGUUAACAUAUUAUAGUUAGCACAGCACGGUUCCUUGAACGCCGCCCAAUGGCAUUCACAACUCGUACUUUGUUCAGAUAGGGAUUGGAUUCAUGCAUGCGUACAAUUCAGUUUAACGUGAAUGUCGUUCAGCAAGAUAUCAUGAUAUAUUGAAUAUAACCAACAAACCCGUAACGAUAGACGAUGUUAACUCCCGAAAUCAACUUCCAUACCAAAUAAAGCGC